UUGGCGAGAUAUGUCGUCCGUGUGGAAGGCUUUCUGCUUCCCAGCAGCACCUGUUGCACUGAGGUGGAACAACGCAACUCAGAUUGGCUCAACCAGACAGCAACCAUGCUGUCAGAUGAAGGGACUGCAGGUCUGGGUGGGGGCAGAACUAGGA